UGCUCGAAAGAGAGCCGUAACACAGGUGCUGCAUGGCUGUCGUCAGCUCGUGUCGUGAGAUGUUGGGUUAAGUCCCGCAACGAGCGCAACCCUUGUCAUUAGUUGCUACGAAAGGGCACUCUAAUGAGACUGCCGGUGACAAACCGGAGGAAGGUGGGGAUGACGUCAAGUCCUCAUGGCCCUUAUGGGUAGGGCUUCACACGUCAUACAAUGGUACAUACAGAGGGCUGCCAACCCGCGAGGGGGAGCUAAUCCCAGAAAGUGUAUCGUAGUCCGGAUUGAAGUCUGCAACUCGACUUCAUGAAGUUGGAAUCGCUAGUAAUCGCGGAUCAGCAUGUCGCGGUGAAUACGUUCCCGGGUCUU
rnacentral:rRNA from 1 species